rnacentral:rRNA from 1 species
GUGGGGAAUAUUGGACAAUGGGCGGAAGCCUGAUCCAGCAACGCCGCGUGAGGGAUGACGGCCUUCGGGUUGUAAACCUCUUUCGGUACCGACGAAGCGAGAGUGACGGUAGGUACUAAAGAAGCACCGGCCAACUACGUGCCAGCAGCCGCGGUAAUACGUAGGGUGCGAGCGUUGUCCGGAAUUAUUGGGCGUAAAGGGCUCGUAGGCGGUUUGUCACGUCGGGAGUGAAAACCAGGUGCUUAACACCUGGCCUGCUUCCGAUACGGGCAGACUGGAGGUAUGCAGGGGAGAACGGAAUUCCUGGUGUAGCGGUGAAAUGCGCAGAUAUCAGGAGGAACACCGGUGGCGAAGGCGGUUCUCUGGGCAUUACCUGACGCUGAGGAGCGAAAGUGUGGGGAGCGAACAGGAUUAGAAACCCCUGUAGUCC